AUAAUGGGUCAGCGACUUAUAUUCUGUAGCAAGGUUAACCGAAUAGGGGAGCCGAAGGGAAACCGAGUCUUAACUGGGCGUUAAGUUGCAGGGUAUAGACCCGAAACCCGGUGAUCUAGCCAUGGGCAGGUUGAAGGUUGGGUAACACUAACUGGAGGACCGAACCGACUAAUGUUGAAAAAUUAGCGGAUGACUUGUGGCUGGGGGUGAAAGGCCAAUCAAACCGGGAGAUAGCUGGUUCUCCCCGAAAGCUAUUUAGGUAGCGCCUCGUGAAUUCAUCUCCGGGGGUAGAGCACUGUUUCGGCAAGGGGGUCAUCCCGACUUACCAACCCGAUGCAAACUGCGAAUACCGGAGAAUGUUAUCACGGGAGACACACGGCGGGUGCUAACGUCCGUCGUGAAGAGGGAAACAACCCAGACCGCCAGCUAAGGUCCCAAAGUCAUGGUUAAGUGGGAAACGAUGUGGGAAGGCCCAGACAGCCAGGAUGUUGGCUUAGAAGCAGCCAUCAUUUAAAGAAAGCGUAAUAGCUCACUGGUCGAGUCGGCCUGCGCGGAAGAUGUAACGGGGCUAAACCAUGCACCGAAGCUGCGGCAGCGACGCUGAUGCGUUGUUGGGUAGGGGAGCGUUCUGUAAGCCUGCGAAGGUGUGCUGUGAGGCAUGCUGGAGGUAUCAGAAGUGCGAAUGCUGACAUAAGUAACGAUAAAGCGGGUGAAAAGCCCGCUCGCCGGAAGACCAAGGGUUCCUGUCCAACGUUAAUCGGGGCAGGGUGAGUCGACCCCUAAGGCGAGGCCGAAAGGCGUAGUCGAUGGGAAACAGGUUAAUAUUCCUGUACUUGGUGUUACUGCGAAGGGGGGACGGAGAAGGCUAUGUUGGCCGGGCGACGGUUGUCCCGGUUUAAGCGUGUAGGCUGGUUUUCCAGGCAAAUCCGGAAAAUCAAGGCUGAGGCGUGAUGACGAGGCACUACGGUGCUGAAGCAACAAAUGCCCUGCUUCCAGGAAAAGCCUCUAAGCAUCAGGUAACAUCAAAUCGUACCCCAAACCGACACAGGUGGUCAGGUAGAGAAUACCAAGGCGCUUGAGAGAACUCGGGUGAAGGAACUAGGCAAAAUGGUGCCGUAACUUCGGGAGAAGG
rnacentral:rRNA from 1 species